GGGUCGAUGCCCGAGUGGUUAAAGGGGGCGGACUGUAAAUCCGCUGGCUAUGCCUACGUUGGUUCAAAUCCAACUCGGCCCA
rnacentral:tRNA from 1 species